rnacentral:rRNA from 1 species
UACAGAGGUCUCAAGCGUUGUUCGGAUUCAUUGGGCGUAAAGGGUGCGUAGGCGGCGCGGUAAGUCGGGUGUGAAAUCUCGGAGCUUAACUCCGAAACUGCAUUCGAUACUGCCGUGCUUGAGGACUGGAGAGGAGACUGGAAUUUACGGUGUAGCGGUGAAAUGCGUAGAUAUCGGGAGGAACACCAAUGGCGAAGGCAGCUCGCUGGGACGUGACUGACGCUAAGGCGCGAAAGCGUGGGGAGCGAACAGG